ACACUCCUACGGGAGGCAGCAGUGGGGAAUUUUGGACAAUGGGCGCAAGCCUGAUCCAGCCAUGCCGCGUGCGGGAAGAAGGCCUUCGGGUUGUAAACCGCUUUUGUCAGGGAAGAAAAGGUUCUGGCUAAUACCUGGGACUCAUGACGGUACCUGAAGAAUAAGCACCGGCUAACUACGUGCCAGCAGCCGCGGUAAUACGUAGGGUGCAAGCGUUAAUCGGAAUUACUGGGCGUAAAGCGUGCGCAGGCGGUUAUGCAAGACAGAGGUGAAAUCCCCGGGCUCAACCUGGGAACUGUCUUUGUGACUGCAUGGCUAGAUUACGGUAGAGGGGGAUGGAAUUCCGCGUGUAGCAGUGAAAUGCGUAGAUAUGCGGAGGAACACCGAUGGCGAAGGCAAUCCCCUGGACCUGUACUGACGCUCAUGCACGAAAGCGUGGGGAGCAAACAGGAUUAGAAACCCUGGUAGGCCCAUGA
rnacentral:rRNA from 1 species